UACGUAGGGUGCAAGCGUUGUCCGGAAUUAUUGGGCGUAAAGAGCUCGUAGGCGGUUUGUCGCGUCUGCUGUGAAAAUCCAGGGCUUAACCCCGGGCCUGCAGUGGGUACGGGCAGACUAGAGUGCGGUAGGGGAGACUGGAAUUCCUGGUGUAGCGGUGAAAUGCGCAGAUAUCAGGAGGAACACCGGUGGCGAAGGCGGGUCUCUGGGCCGAUACUGACGCUGAGGAGCGAAAGCGUGGGGGAGCGAACAGG
rnacentral:rRNA from 1 species